AAAAAGUUUGGCACAUACCUUCAGGUUCUAGUCACUUGAAAAAAUGCAUUACAAGUUCUGUGUUGGUAGUUGAGAAAUUUGCAGG
rnacentral:lncRNA from 1 species